rnacentral:rRNA from 1 species
AGACAAUAGAUACCCUGGUAGUCCACGCCGUAAACUAUGGAUGCUAGCUGUUAGAGGUAUCGACCCCUCUAGUAGCGAAAGCUAACGCGUUAAGCAUCCCGCCUGUGGAGUACGGUCGCAAGACUAAAACAUAAAGGAAUUGACGGGGACCCGCACAAGCGGUGGAGCGUGUUGUUUAAUUCGAUGGUAAGCGAAGAACCUUACCCAGGCUUGACAUCCUUGGAAUUUUGGCGAAAGCCGAGAGUGCCUUCGGGAACCAAGUGACAGGUGUUGCAUGGCCGUCGUCAGCUCGUGUCGUGAGAUGUUUGGUUAAGUCCAUCAACGAGCGCAACCCUUAUAGUUAGUUGAAUUUUUCUAGCUAGACUGCCUGGCAACAGGGAGGAAGGAGGGGAUGAUGUCAGGUCAGUAUUACCCUUACGUCUGGGGCUACAAACACGCUACAAUGGCCGGUACAAAGGGCAGCCAAGUCGCGAGACGGAGCAAAUCCCAUCAAAGCCGGUCUAAAGUUCGGAUAGCAGGCUGAAACUCGCCUGCUUGAAGCU